AACGAACGCUUGCGGCGCGCCUAAUACAUGCAAGUCGAACGAGAAAGUGUCUUCGGACGCGAGUACAGUGGCGGACGGGUGAGGAACACGUAGAUAAUCUGCCUUAAAGAGGGGAAUAACUACUCGAAAGAGUAGCUAAUACCGCAUAAGACCACAGGGGCUUCGGCUCUAGGGGUUAAAGGCUUCGGUCGCUUUAAGAUGAGUCUGCGUCCGAUUAGCUAGUUGGUGAGGUAAUGGCUCACCAAGGCGACGAUCGGUACCUGGUCUGAGAGGAUGUCCAGGCAAACUGGAACUGAAACACGGUACAGACUCCUACGGGAGGCAUCAGUAGGGAAUAUUGGACAAUGGAGGAAACUGUGAUGCAGCGACGCCGCGUGAGUGAUGAAGGCCUUCGGGUUGUAAAACUCUGUGAUAAGGGAAGAUAAUGACGGUACCUUAUCAGAAAGGACCGGCUAACUUCGUGCCAGCCGCCGCGGUAAAAC
rnacentral:rRNA from 1 species